rnacentral:misc_RNA from 1 species
GAAAUGCGAUACGUAAUGUGAAUUGCAGAUUCGUGACUCAUCGAAAUUUUGAACGCACAUUGCGCCCGCCAGCACUCUGGCGGGCAUGCCUGUUCGAGCGUCAUUUCAACCCUCAGAACCCCUUGCGGGAUCUGGCGUUGGGGAUUGGCAUCCAGCCAGCCCCGAAAUCUAGUGGCGGUCCCUCCGCGACCUCCCCUGUGCAGUAGCGAUACCUCGCAGCGGGACAGCGGUCUGACCACGCCGUAAAACCCCCAACUUCUCAAGGUUGACCUCGAAUCAGGUAGGAAUACCCGCUGAACUUAAGC